UCUGAUGUAGGGCGAUGCGUGGCGGGAAGGCGUAGGGGGCGAUGGUUGUCGUGUAUUAUUGGGCGUAAAUGGGUCUGAGGCGGGCUGUCUGUUCGGUUGGGAAAGCCGUGGGCUGAACCCCGGGUCGGCAGUCGAGACGGGCAGGCUAGAGUUCGGUAGGGGAGAUCGGAAUUCCUGGUGUAGCGGUGAAAUGCGCAGAUAUCAGGAGGAACACCGGUGGCGAAGGCGGAUCUCUGGGCCGAUACCGACGCUGAGGAGCGAAAGCGUGGGGAGCGAACAGGAUUAGAUACCCGGGUAGUC
rnacentral:rRNA from 1 species